CUCACUACACAUCUUGAUUUUUUUUUUAAUAGGUGGUUCCCAAUACAUCUUUUUAAGGGAGUAUCCUCUGAAUAUUGUUAACAGUUGAUAUGCAUUUCUGUAUUUUUGUCUAAUUGAUGAGGUAAUCAAAGCGGGCGUGGUUCCUUGGUUUGUGGAGUUUCUGGGAAGGAAUGAUCUGCCCAACUUGCAGAAAGAUGUCAAUAUGUAAUCGAAAUUGUUGGCAAGAGAUGUCAAUAUAACACCAAGAAUAAAUUUGUAAAUAUUUUAUGCUUUUGUUUUUUACCCUUAGCUCUCUUUUGUUGACUUUCAUUUUCUCUUCUACAUGCAGAAAGAAUCAUCAGUGGGACGGGCAACACAAUCUACUGAUCUAGAUUUCAGAUGCAUGUAGAGUGGUAAUUGAGCAUGGUGCUGUCUCCUUGUUUGUGCAACUUCUUAGCUUUGCCAGUGAUGAUAUCAGAGAGCAGUUUGUUUCACUUCUCUUGUAUAAAUUUCAGGAAGUCCUCUGCUUGGCAUUAUUUAUGUUUAUGCUUUUUUGUUAUCUAAUUUGCAUUGUUUUUUUUUUUUUUUUUUUCAAUCAAAUAAUUAUGCCCCCUAUAACUCUUUUUUAUUUUCCAUGCUUAGCUUUGGACUUUCAUACCUUUAUAUUCAUUCUAAAUUCCAAAAUAUUUCCAAGCUUAAUUAUCUCCCAUAAGAUAUGUUUUCUUUUUUUGAUGUCAUUCCUAACAUGUGGUUUUAUUUUUUUUAAUUUUUUUUUUUUUGGAGAAAUCAAUGCUACAUUAGCAGUGUAGAGGUUUUAAUCCAUGUCUUGAAUUUGAUUAGAUAUUAGAUAUUGAUAGAAAGGAGAAAACAUUUUUUUGACUUAAGCAUUUUUGUCUAGGAGGAAAAAUAUCUACUUUUGAACCCUCAUUCACUCAAAGAAGAUAUUGUUUGCUUUGAUUUAUUUGGUGAUAGUGUUUUGGGGACAACUUGAAGAGAGUAGUGCGGUUUACUUUUGAAAUAUUUUCUACAACUUUAGUUAGAUUUGGCGAGAAUGAUUUCCUUAUAUAGAAUGUUUCACGACCUGAAAAUGUUUGUAAUGAGUUUCAUGUACAAAUUGUUGGAAUCGUGGUUCCAAAAUGCUGUAUUUCUUGACCCACUACUGUUCUAUUUUAAUGAAUUAAACAUGCUCCUUGAAACCAUCCAAUGCUUGGGGGGAGCAUAUAUGAACAAAUAAAGAAAUAGAAUGAUGUUUAGAUCAAUACAUAGAGUACCCUUUAUUAUUAUUAUUUUUUUUUUUGAUAAGUAGAGUACCCUUUAAUUUAAUAUACCAAUGUGGUGAGCUAGACAUCUGCAAAUAUCAUAACAAUGUUAUUGUCCUCUCUAUUCUCUAAUAAAUUAUAAAAAUUCCCCUCAUCUUCUCCUUGCACUCUCUCUCUUGUUGUGUAUGCUUGUGUGUUUAUAUGCUUUAGGAUUUUUUAUGUUGUUUAAAAUUAGAAUCAAUAGCAAGGAAGUCAAUGAACUGUCUUCUUGGCACUCAAUAAUUAAAUUACUUUUCUAUUUGAUACUAUAAUUUUCUUAAAACAUUUUGUUUAACAGGGCUUGUUUUUGUUGUUUCUCCUUCUAUGGAGAUGUGCUGAAUGAUUUGCACUGUUAUUGGGUUUGCUUGUUAACUUUUUUUUUGGCUAUUGUCCUCCCAUGUUCAGGGAUAGUACUUUUGAAUAUUUUAAGCUUAUGUUUAUUUUUCAUUUCUUUGCAUUUAUAACUCCUUGCUCCUUUUUUUUUUUUUUUUUUGUGUGUGGAGGGUGAGUUGAUUGAAAGAAACAUUUACUACAAUGGCUAGACAAGUAAUCCACCCAUUACAAAGAAGGGAACUUGAAUCUCAAUCAAUAGAGGACAUUACUAAUAUACAUA